AUCUCUUCAUCAUUAGCAAACAAUUUAAACACAUGAACAAAUCUGACAUUGGCUUUUCUCUUGUAGACCGGUGAGAGCUGGGAAUGACACAGGGGUAGAUGCCGUCUGCACCUACAGGCGCGACUCCACUGCUCCCCCGUUUGACAGAGUGGGUGUUUACCAUGAAAUCCGCAACAAGACAAAUGGCAUCACCAAGCUCGGCCCCUACACCCUGGACAAGGACAGCCUCUACGUCAAUGGUUAUAACGAAGCACCAGCUCUGCCAACUGUUUUGCCAAUCUCAACCCCCGCUCCAGCAAUUGAACAUUUCACUGUGAACUUCACCAUAACCAAUUUCAAAUAUGAUUCACAACUGGGAUCUCCUCAUUCUGCCCGGUUCAAUGCUACUGAGAAAGCCUUGAUCUUUUUG
rnacentral:lncRNA from 1 species